rnacentral:rRNA from 1 species
GAGUUUGAUCAUGGCUCAGAUUGAACGCUGGCGGCAGGCCUAACACAUGCAAGUCGAGCGCGAAAGGCUUUCGGGCUGAGUAGAGCGGCGGACGGGUGAGUAACGCGUAGGAAUCUACCUGGUAGUGGGGGACAACUUGGGGAAACUCAAGCUAAUACCGCAUACGCCCUAUGGGGGAAAGCGGGGGACCUUCGGGCCUCGCGCUAUCAGAUGAGCCUGCGUAGGAUUAGCUUGUUGGUGAGGUAAAGGCUCACCAAGGCGACGAUCCUUAGCUGGUCUGAGAGGAUGAUCAGCCACACUGGGACUGAGACACGGCCCAGACUCCUACGGGGGCAGCAGUGGGGAAUAUUGCGCAAUGGGGGCAACCCUGACGCAGCCAUGCCGCGUGUGUGAAGAAGGCCUUCGGGUUGUAAAGCACUUUAAGUGGGGAGAAAAGGGUAGCGGUUAAUAGCCGUUACCUGUGAUGUUACCCACAGAAUAAGCACCGGCUAACUCCGUGCCAGCAGCCGCGGUAAUACGGAGGGUGCGAGCGUUAAUCGGAAUUACUGGGCGUAAAGCGCGCGUAGGCGGUUUGUUAAGUCAGCUGUGAAAGCCCCGGGCUCAACCUGGGAACUGCAGUUGAUACUGGCCGACUAGAGUACGAGAGAGGGAGGUAGAAUUCCAUGUGUAGCGGUGAAAUGCGUAGAUAUAUGGAGGAAUACCGGUGGCGAAGGCGGCCUCCUGGCUCGAUACUGACGCUGAGGUGCGAAAGCGUGGGGAUCAAACAGGAUUAGAUACCCUGGUAGUCCACGCCGUAAACGAUGUCUACUAGCCGUUGGGAGACUUGAUUUCUUAGUGGCGCAGCUAACGCAAUAAGUAGACCGCCUGGGGAGUACGGCCGCAAGGUUAAAACUCAAAUGAAUUGACGGGGGCCUCACAAGCGGUGGAGCAUGUGGUUUAAUUCGAUGCAACGCGAAGAACCUUACCAGGUCUUGACAUCCAGAGAACUUGGCAGAGAUGCCUUGGUGCCUUCGGGAGCUCUGAGACAGGUGCUGCAUGGCUGUCGUCAGCUCGUGUCGUGAGAUGUUGGGUUAAGUCCCGUAACGAGCGCAACCCUUGUCCUUAGUUGCCAGCACGUAAUGGUGGGAACUCUAAGGAGACUGCCGGUGACAAACCGGAGGAAGGUGGGGACGACGUCAAGUCAUCAUGGCCCUUACGACCUGGGCUACACACGUGCUACAAUGGAACGCACAGAGGGCAGCAAAGGCGCGAGCUGGAGCCAAUCCCACAAAACGUUUCGUAGUCCGGAUCGGAGUCUGCAACUCGACUCCGUGAAGUCGGAAUCGCUAGUAAUCGUGGAUCAGAAUGCCACGGUGAAUACGUUCCCGGGCCUUGUACACACCGCCCGUCACACCAUGGGAGUGGGUUGCUCCAGAAGUGGUUAGCCUAACCUUCGGGGGGGCGAUCACCACGGAGUGGUU